GGUGUGUGGCUUAGUGGUAGAGCAUUUGCUUGGCAUGCAUGAGGCCCUGGGUUUGAUGCCCAGCACCACCA
rnacentral:tRNA from 1 species